rnacentral:lncRNA from 1 species
AUCAAGAGGAAGACAGCCUUAAACAAAACAUAGUCAAACAGCAGACUUGCUGUCAACUCCAGCACGUUACUAAGCUCUGAGGGCUCAGGAGAAACUAGCAUGAAGUGACAUGGAAAUGCUGUUUGACACACUCCAGGAGGAGGACUUCAGGCUUCGACGAGGGGGACGGUACCUCAGCAGCCCAAGGGGGAACAGGGAGCCCAUCCUGAGAGAGAGAGCAGGACCCUGAAAGCGAUAGAGAAUUUGACCAAGCUGGAAGAGCUGCUGAAUGCUGAGGCACAUGGGACCUGUUGCAGAGUGACUGAGCAGCACCCGUGUUUCACAGACGCAGGCCAGGGACACCUUACAAGGCAGCACCAUAUUCAAGUGCCCUCAUUCCUCCUCGGCCACCUGAGACUCAGGCUGACACAGAGAAAACAGAACGAGCCACUUCCUGAAGGCAGAGAUGGGAGAGGUGGCUGUGAUCACUGGGUCUUGGCUCUCCACCCCAAAAGGUCUGUCCUGCUGCCAGCAACUGCACAUUGCUUGCUGUUCCUUGGCUUGUGUGAACACUCGGUAAGCUCCACCCUCAGAGCAAGCCUGAAUUGCUGAGGAUUUCCUGGAAAUAAAGCAAAAGCUAAAAGCUGAAUACGGAUACUG